CGACAGCAAUAUGUAGGUCAAGCUAAAGACUUUACCAGAAUCGCUGAGAGGAGGUGCAUGGCCGUCGUCAGUUCGUACUGUGAAGCAUCCUGUUAAGUCAGGCAACGAGCGAGACCCGUGCCCACUGUUGCCAGCAUAUCCUUUGGGAUGAUGGGUACUCUGUGGGGACCGCCGAUGCUAAAUCGGAGGAAGGUGCGGGCUACGGUAGGUCAGUAUGCCCCGAAUCUCCCGGGCUACACGCGGGCUACAAUGACUGGGACAAUGGGCUCCUACCCCGAGAGGGGAUGGUAAUCUCAUAAACCCAGCCGUAGUUCGGAUCGAGGGCUGUAACCCGCCCUCGUGAAGCUGGAAUCCGUAGUAAUCGCGUUUCAACAUAGCGCGGUGAAUACGUCCCUGCUCCUUGCACACACCGCCCGUCAAACCACCCGAGUGAGGUAUGGGUGAGGGCAUGGACAAUGUGCUGUGUUCGAACCUAAAUUUUGCAAGGGGGGUU
rnacentral:rRNA from 1 species